CAGACAGUAAUGGAAACUGUAUCCUCUGUUCACAGAACAGGAACAGUGUGAGUAGCAGCAGUGAAAAUUUCCCCACACUUUUUCCCCUCUGUGCUUCAAUCCUUACCUGGAAGGACAAACAACUUUUGUUUUGUUUGGCCUCCAUGUUUACCAAAUCGUUUUAUUUUUCUGUGUG
ensembl:misc_RNA